rnacentral:rRNA from 1 species
UCAAGGUGAGAGAUACGGAGGUAGAGCACUGAAUGUCCUAGGGGGUAUUGCACCUACCGAAGACUAUCAAACUCCGAAUGCCGUCAUCUUAUACUUGGGAGUCAGACUGUGGGUGAUAAGAUUCAUAGUCGAAAGGGCAACAGCCCAGAUCGUCAGCUAAGGUCCCUAAAUGUAAGUUAAGUGGUAAAGGAUGUGGGAUUGCACAGACAACCAGGAUGUUGGCUUAGAAGCAGCCACUCAUUCAAAGAGUGCGUAAUAGCUCACUGGUCGAGUGAUCCUGCGCCGAAGAUUUCCGGGGCUAAAACUUACUACCGAAGCUACGGCAUCAGUAAUGAUGGGUAGGGGAGCUUCCCAUACGGGUUGAAGCAUGACCGUAAGGACAUGUGGACAGUAUGGGAGUGAGAAUGUUGGCAUGAGUAGCGAGAUGUGGGUGAGAAUCCCACAGGCCGUAAACCCAAGGUUUCCAGGGGAAGGUUCGUCCGCCCUGGGUUAGUCGGGACCUAAGCUGAGGCCGAAAGGCGUAGGUGAUGGACAACAGGUUGAUAUUCCUGUACUACCGAUAACCGUUUGAGAGAAGGGAUGACACAGUAGGAUAAGCUAAGCACACUGUUGGUUAUGUGUGCCCAAGCAUUGAGGCAGUCAAAGUAGGCAAAUCCGCUUUGAUAAUGCUGGGAUGUGAUGGGGAGCGAAAUUUAGUAGCGAAGUAGCUGAUUUCACACUGUCAAGAAAAGUCUCUAUCGAGGUUAAAGGUACCCGUACCGCAAACCGACACAGGUGGGUGAGGAGAGUAUCCUAAGGCCAGCGAGAGAACUGUUGUUAAGGAACUCGGCAAAAUGACCCCGUAACUUAGGGAUAAGGGGUGCCACCAUCAGGUGGCCGCAGAGAAUAGGCCCAAGCGACUGUUUACCAAAAACAUAGGUUUCUGCUAAGUCGCAAGACGAUGUAUAGGAGCUGACGCCUGCCCGGUGCUGGAAGGUUAAGGGGAUCUGUUAGAGCAAUCGAAGCAGUGAACUUAAGCCCCAGUAAACGGCGGCCGUAACUAUAACGGUCCUAAGGUAGCGAAAUUCCUUGUCGGGUAAGUUCCGACCCGCACGAAAGGCGUAACGAUUUGGGCACUGUCUCAACAACAGACUCGGUGAAAUUGUAAUUCCGGUGAAGAUGCCGGAUACCUGCGACAGGACGGAAAGACCCCAUGGAGCUUUACUGUAGCUUGACAUUGGGUCUUGGUACUACAUGUACAGGAUAGGUGGGAGGCUUUGAAACCAGGACGCCAGUUUUGGCGGAGCCAUCCUUGGGAUACCACCCUUGUAGUACUGGGACUCUAACCAUAGGCCAUGAAUCUGGUCUUGGGACACUGUCAGGUGGGCAGUUUGACUGGGGCGGUCGCCUCCCAAAAGGUAACGGAGGCGCUCAAAGGUUCUCUCAGUACGGUCGGAAAUCGUACGUAGAGUGUAAAGGCAAAAGAGAGCUUGAUUGCAAGACAUACAGGUCGAGCAAGGAUGAAAAUCGGACUUAGUGAUCCGGUGGUUCUGCGUGGAAGGGCCAUCGCUCAACGGAUAAAAGCUACCCUGGGGAUAACAGGCUUAUCUCCCCCAAGAGUCCACAUCGACGGGGAGGUUUGGCACCUCGAUGUCGGCUCAUCACAUCCUGGGGCUGUAGUAGGUCCCAAGGGUUGGGCUGUUCGCCCAUUAAAGUGGUACGCGAGCUGGG